GUGGGGAAUCUUGCACAAUGGGCGAAAGCCUGAUGCAGCGACGCCGCGUGCGGGAUGAAGGCCCUCGGGUCGUAAACCGCUUUCAGCAGGGACGAUAGUGACGGUACCUGCAGAAGAAGCCCCGGCCAACUACGUGCCAGCAGCCGCGGUAAUACGUAGGGGGCAAGCGUUGUCCGGAUUUAUUGGGCGUAAAGAGCUCGUAGGCGGUUCGAUAAGUCGGGUGUGAAAUCUCCAGGCUCAACCUGGAGGCGCCACUCGAUACUGUCGUGACUUGAGUUCGGUAGAGGAGUAUGGAAUUCCCGGUGUAGCGGUGAAAUGCGCAGAUAUCGGGAGGAACACCCGUAGCGAAGGCGGUACUCUGGGCCGAAACUGACGCUGAGGAGCGAAAGCGUGGGGAGCGAACAGGAUUAGAUACCCUAGUAGUCC
rnacentral:rRNA from 1 species